rnacentral:rRNA from 1 species
AGUUAUAGGGAGGGACUUACAUCACCACAAACAGAAACUAAAGCAGGUGUUGGAUUUCAAGUUGGUGUUAAAGAGUAUAAAUUGACUUACUACAUCUCAGAGUAUGAAACUAAAGAUACUUGGCAGCAUCCGGCUAGAACACGCGAGUAA